rnacentral:lncRNA from 1 species
GGAAGUAGUCCUGUCUCCUGGAGGGCAGCCCUGGAAACGGGUGGUGAUGGAUGCAAAUCAGCACAGGUGUGCAACAUUGAUCCUGACCUGCAGGGUGUGCAAGUGAUGCCAGUAUUUCUUGUAGCUGUACUAAGGUUUUGUACCACAGGGCAAACAAAUAAAGGAACCCUAAGGGACACGUUUCCAGUUAAAUUGUAUGUGGGAUGGCAGUGUGAGGUUUGGCUUCCCAAUUUUCAUCAACCUGCAUUGGACACAUGUGAAGAAAUGAAAUACAAGAUGCUGAACGAGUUAGGAGUGACAGACGUACCAGAGGCCACUCUGGUGGAUACAGACAGCACCAUCUACUCUCCUUUCCUGUUCAACACAGGUAAAGCCUUUGUAUCUUUCCACAGGAAGCAGAUCUACGUAUAAUCUGAUAAACAAAGAGAAUGUUCUUUGUUUUUCUAACCAAAUAUUAUUGUUAUAGGGUCACCUUGAGAGGAUUCACACCUCACUUCCUGAAGUUUUCUGCACUGUUCCAAGACUAGACUCCCAUGGAGAGAGCUACACUUCUCCGCACACACAACACCAUAAAAUCUGGAAAGUAGGCAGCAGAAAAGGACUUGAGAAACCUUUUUGUGAGAUGGUUUAUGGAGUGGCAUAUGAGCACACAUAAACCUAGACAGAUAUACAAACAUGGACUUGUUUACCCUGGUUAAAAUUCUGAACCUUCUGAAUUCUGCCAUUCAUCAGAAAACAUUUCAUCAUUCACAGACCCCUUACAAAAUAUGCACAUAUUUUCCAGGAAAUGUAAGUAGAAAAUGACAUACCAGUGGAGUUAAAUAAAACCCUAUCUGUGUAGAAGACAUUUGACUCAUUAUUCAAAAU